rnacentral:lncRNA from 1 species
UGGAAAACAGACCUGCUAUACCUUCUCAAUAGAUGAUGUCCAAAAAAUUCUCCAAAUUCAGCUAGCUAACACUCCCCAUGAUGACUUUCUGGCUUGGAGGGAUACACAGUGAGAAGUGGGUAUAAAUUGCUAUUACACGGUAACUUGAUUAAUGAUAAUAGUUAUAACCCAAUCGAAAUCAGAAAAUGCUACAGAAAACUAUGGACCAAUGACCUUCCUUCAAAAUUACUUAUUACAGUUUGGAGAGCCACUCAAAAUUACUUGCCUAUUCUAGCAAAUCUAAGAAUCAAAAGACUAACAGACGACGCAGUAUGUCCAAGAUGCAAGCAAGGACUGGAAAAUAGAGAGCAUAUAUUCUGCGACUUUGCUGUUACAAAAUAAACAUGGGAUACAUUAAAUUAUGUUUGGUCCCAGGAUUUAUCUCAAUUGGAGUUCUUGGAUUGGUUUACCUGGAUUAUGCUAACUAGUAAAACCGAUGGUCGUCGAACCUUUAUCUGCGCUAUUUGGGCUAUUUGGUCUGCUAGGAACCAAUGGAUCCAUGAAGGACAUAGGAGAUCUGGAGUAAAUACAACAAGAUUUAUAUUACAGUAUCUUUAAGAGCUGAAUAGUAUAAAGCAAAUAUCCCCUACCUCAAGAGUCAAGACUGUCUUCUGAGUAGUGGAAGCCUCCAAAGUGUGGGUUUUGCAAAAUUAAUUUUGAAGCUGCAGUGGAUAUUAAAAAUUACAGAUCCUGUUCGGGAAUAAUCAUCAGAGACUAUAACGAGGAUGUCCUGACUUCAAAAACCACAAUACACGAGAAUGUACCUUCAGGGUUUGCAGCAGAAGCCAUUGCAUGUCUUCAGGGAGUUAAAAUGGGGAAGGAUCUAGGAUUAAAUUAUGUUGAAAUUGAAGGAGACUCCCUGACGGUUAUCAAGCGAGUUAAAGGCAAAAGCAAAGACAAAUCGGUAAUCGGACCAUAUAUUCGAAACAUUAAAGAAUUGACAAGGGGUUCUUACGAGUGUAAGUUUCAACAUGUCAGACGAAUAAUAAAUGAACAUGCUCAUUUACUAGCAACACAGGGUUUAAGAAUGGCAAAUAACACUCACAUUGCCUAGAGAAGUAAUGGUCCAGAUAUUACAGCUGCUGAAGUUAAUGAAGGAUGGCGAUGAAGAAACAAAAGGACUAAAGACUAUGAGAAGAGAACCUUUAUUUUUUUAGACGUUUACUCUUCUCCAGGGGCUGUUAUAAUUGAAAAGAAGAUUUUUAGACAGAUCUAGAAAAUGAUAGCUCAUACAACUGGGUUGCCUUUCUCUUUUGUCGUUGUUCUUUUUUUU